AAAUGUAUAGCUUUAAAAAGACAAGAUUUUAAAAGCUGGAAUAAUCAGAACAACAAAAUAAAGUGUUACUGUAUUACAAUCCAAAGUAUAACAGGUUCAUGAGUCCAUAUUGAUAUUACUUAAAAGGGCAGAUAGUAGGCAAAUCCCAUGUGCAGAAGAAUUCCAAAUAACUUACGCUUAUUCUACUCUCGAGAUGGAGCUGAACUCCCACCAUGAAGUGUGAACUGGGAGUGAAAAAUGAGUUCCUUUCAAAGAGCAUGGAAAGGGAGUUCGGGUUUUUGUUUUAAGUAACUUUAUAGUGGAGAAACCUGACAAAUACUACAUUAGCCAGGAGAUCAAAGCUAACAUGUAGUGUGGUCAGUCAUGGUGACAGUGUUUAUCCUUGAUAUGAUAUGAUGAGAAUUGCACUUUACUUCUGUGGUCUUUUCUAACAAACAAAAAAACAUAAACCCAGUCUAAUGAUAAGAAAAAAAUCAGACAAAUCGCAAAUGAGGAAGAUUCUACAAAAAUACCUGACCAUUACUCCUCAAAACUACUGAAGUCAUGAAAAACAAAGUGUGAGAAAUUCUCAAGCAGAGAAGCUGAAGGAAACAUAACUAAAUAUAAGCUGGUAUCCUGGUUGGAAUGCUCAAAAAGAAAAGAGAUUAGGUAAACACUAAGGAAAUAUGAAUAAAAUAUGAACUCUAGUUAAUACCAAUGUUUUUAAAAGGUUUCCUAUUCUUAUCUCUAGCACAGAAACAAGAGCCAGAAUUUUAACAAAACAUUCAUUUGUGCUAACUCAGACUGAAACCUCAAGAAACCAAGGUAGCCAAUAAAAUUGUUCUGAAAAAAAGAAAGACCAAGUGCGGUAUAUGGGUCUUACUUUACAGUACUAUUGUAUAAAGACAUUUUGAGGCAGAGAACAUUGAACACAGUCCGGUGUUAGAUGAUACUUAGAAAUUAAUUUUCUUGGGUUUGAAAAUGUUUAAUAGUCCUUAUCAGAGAAACAUCAUGAAGCAUGAGUUGACAAAUGGCUGGAAUUUAAUCUAUUUCAGCAAAAAAAAAAAAAA